AAAUCACCAUAAACACCGCUGGCUAUUAUCAGCCAAUCAGCACUGUCAUAUUACUACCCAACACAGACAGAUGGGGGGGCCUGGUUGUAUCCAGGGAAAAGCGAGGGGUUGGGGGAUGGGGGUGGGGGGCGGGGGGGCUCUAAAAUGCCAGUGGCUGCUGUGGGAUAUCGGGCAUGUGUGAGUAUGGGGAGGGAGGAUGUUAGUAGUCAGGGAUUCUACAGUGUAAUGAUUCUGUCACACUGACACAGGUUCCUCAUAGAUAAGCAGCCGCAUGGAAGCGGAAGUUUAACCUGGACGAAGGGCUAGAGGUUGCCUCAGCAUUUGUGUUUUUGUGUGUGUGUGUCUUUGUGUGUGUGUGUGUGUGUGUUGUGGAUUAGCUGUGUAAUUAUCUUUUCUUGUCUCCCCCUUCUUUCCCUUCGUUCAAGUUGACCCUUAUUAUGGCAGCAGAUGCUAAUUACACACUCCUGGCUUUCCCAAUGAGCUGCGAUAGGGGAGUCUGCUGCCAUGGCCAGACGGAAAUUUCUAGAGCGCGUCCUCCCUCCAGACGGAGAGAGGGCUGUCUGAGGUGGUGAGGUGGUGAGAACAAUGGGAUGUGAAUGCUGAGCCAGAGCCUGAGGCUGAGGUUUAGUGUGGCCAUACCCAGAGAAGGGUUGGGCAUGUCGAACAGAGAGGGAGCGGGAUGGGCAGGGGAGGUCUUGAAGUCGCCGUGCCUGGAGGGCGGUCAGGACGCGAGGCACUCUGAUGAGGCGGCGCGCUCGUCUGAACACGGCACGUCAAUGUGGUGGAGGGCAGGAUGUGACGGACGGGAAAAGCCUCGCCUCGGGCCCACCGCAGCCUCUCGCAUUCCCUUUCUUUCUUUCUUUCUUUUCUUCUCUUGUCCUCUUCUUCUUCUCUGCAUUUCGAAGCUCCAAACAGCAGACCUCCUGACACCGUAGCGUCAUCUCAUAAGUUGCGAUGGAGGGUAAAGCUGGAGAAGAAUGGUGAUAUAAUGGACUAAUCCAGAAUUAUGCCCCGUUAUUAACAAGAAGUCGUCGUGGACUGUCAUCACAAAGCGAGCAAUUGCUCACUGACUCAGAGCAAGAGCAGCAUACUGCGGCGGGCGUCUAUGUGAAAGCUCAAAUGUUACGCAACCGUCGAGUGCAUUUUCACUGCCCGGGGAUGAGUCAUCUAAUUUGCUCCGAACUCCCUUGGCCGUCACGCUGCAGGCCCCUUCCACUGCUCUGGAGAUGGUGUGGAGGGGCUGUGGAGAGGGUGGAACAGGUCAUGCUAAUGAACAGGG
ensembl:lncRNA